UACGGGGGAUGCGAGCGUUAUCCGGAUUUAUUGGGUUUAAAGGGUGCGCAGGCGGAUUUUUAAGUCAGCGGUCAAAUCGUGGGGCUCAACCCCAUCCAGCCGUUGAAACUGGUGAUCUUGAGUGGGCGAGAAGUAUGCGGAAUGCGUGGUGUAGCGGUGAAAUGCUUAGAUAUCACGCAGAACCCCGAUUGCGAAGGCAGCCUUCCGGCGCCCUACUGACGCUGAGGCACGAAAGCGUGGGGAGCAAAUAGG
rnacentral:rRNA from 1 species